rnacentral:lncRNA from 1 species
AUCUUUGCCUAAAAAUUUUCUGGCAAGUUAAUCAGGACUUUUUCAACAAUUCUCCUAUCAGGUAAAUCAUCCCCCAACAACCUUAUUUUGUUCACAACUUUCAUCAGCCGGUCAGAAAAAUCUUUAACUGAUUAUGACUCCUUCAUCUUCAGGCUCUCAUACUCCCUUCUAAAAUUCAAGACUUACAUUUGUCUUAUCCUAGAAUUUCCC